rnacentral:rRNA from 1 species
CCUACGGGUGGCAGCAGUCGAGAAUCAUUCACAAUGGGCGAAACCCUGAUGCUGCGACGCCGCGUGGGGGACUGAAGGUCUUCGGAUUGUAAACCCCUUUCAUGUGGGAGCAAACUACAAAGAUAGUACCACAACAGGAAGAGACGACUAACUCUGGGCCAGGAGCCACGGUAAUACAGGGGUCUGACGUGUUGUUAUGAAUGACUUGGCGUGAAGGGUUCGGUGGCUGUGUCGUGAGGCGUGGGGGAAAAGCGCGGGGUCAACCCGCGGGCGGCACCUGAUACUGCGAGUCUAGAGUGAUGGAGGGGGAAGCGGAAUGCGCGGUGUAGCAGUGAAAUGCGUAGAGAUCGAGAAGAACACUGGUGGCGAAGGCGGGUUCCUGG